GAGAAAGACAUAAGGGUUAUGAGGCUGACUUGAAAUCAGUUUUAGGGGGUUCGAGUCCUUCCUUUCUUA
rnacentral:tRNA from 1 species